GAUGAAGAACGUAGCGAAAUGCGAUAAGUAAUGUGAAUUGCAGAAUUCAGUGAAUCAUCGAAUCUUUGAACGCACAUUGCGCCCCCUGGUAUUCCGGGGGGCAUGCCUGUUCGAGCGUCAUUACAACCAAUCCAGCCCGGCUGGGUGUUGGGCGUCGCGGCCUGCCGCGCGCCUCAAAGUCCUCGGCGGAAGCCGCCCGUUCCUCUGCGUGAUGAUCCAUCGCCGCUUGGGAGUCGGGGGAGAGCGCCUGCACGCGUCGACGGAGACGUCGACUUCAAGGUUGACCUCGGAUCAGGUAGGGAUACCCGCUGAACUUAAGCAUAUCAAUAAGCGGAGGA
rnacentral:misc_RNA from 1 species